rnacentral:tRNA from 1 species
GCGGGUGUGGCCAAGUGGUUAAGGCAGUGGGUUGUGAUCCCGCUAUUCGCCGGUUCAAGUCCGGUCACUCGCCC